rnacentral:lncRNA from 10 species
UCUGUAUCAUCAGACUCGUCUAUUUCUGAAAAAUCGGAUUCAUCAAAUGAAUCUUCAACCAACAACUAUUCGAGAAUGAUGUUAACAUCACGCGUAGGCAUGCUAUGUUUUCUAGGAUUUGACGUCUUCAGCGAUCAAGAAUUACUGUAUUUUGUAAAUGGAAAUACCACUACUAAAAACAGAAUGCUAUAAAUAGAAUGAUGUCUUGUUUCCAAAGUUGAUAUACUAGAGCAAUGUGAAAAUGAUAAAAGCGAGAUAUUUUGUGGCAACGAUUUAAAAAGAUGUUCAGUAGUAAAACAAAAGUACAAGAAUAAAGUGACAAGCAAUUCUA